rnacentral:sRNA from 1 species
UUAAAGUAUUAUUUAUUUGGGGACCUUUAAUAUGUUGUACUUAUAUUUUAACAGAAUCAUAAUCUGAUGAUAACUUUGCAUUUACUUAUUAUGUAUAGAAAGUUACAUCAUAAAACUCUCAGAAUUCUGUACAUACAGGAUAUGUGUGCACUGAGCCACAAUAUAAAAUGUUUAUCUUACAAAGGUUGCAGUAAGAAAAGUUUGAAAAACACCAGCCUGGUACAUAUUUCAUUAAGGCUUGAAAGAGGAAAGUAAAGCUGUGAAGGUCAGGGGUAAAGCAGGCCUUACAGUCUGUGAGUGCUAGGGCUGGGAUGGUCCCCAGCACAGUCCCCAGGCCUCACCAGGGUUGGGGUUUGUUAACCUGUGUUCCCCACAGCUACCUGGUGGCGCACACUCUAGGGCGCCGGAUGCUGUAUCCAGGCUCUGUGUACCUGCUGCAGAAGGCCCUCAUGCCUGUGCUGCUGCAGGGCCAGGCCCGACUGGUGGAAGAGUGUAACGGGCGCCGGGCAAAGCUGCUGGCCUGUGAUGGCAAUGAGAUUGACACCAUGUUUGUAGACCGGCGGGGGACAGCUGAGCCCCAGGG